rnacentral:tRNA from 1 species
AACUAAUGAACUUGAACAAGUAUAUGUUUUGAAAACAUAUAAAAGAGAUAAAAACUCUCUAUUAGUUU